rnacentral:tRNA from 1 species
GGGGAUUUAGCUCAGUGGCAUAAGCGCUUGCCUUGUAAAGCAAGCAGUCAUGAGUUCAAUCCCCG